rnacentral:rRNA from 1 species
CACACGACUCUCGGCAACGGAUAUUUCGGCUCUCGCAUCGAUGAAGAACGUAGCGAAAUGCGAUACCUGGUGUGAAUUGCAGAAUCCCGCGAACCAUCGAGUCUUUGAACGCAAGUUGCGCCCGAGGCCAUCCGGCCGAGGGCACGCCUGCCUGGGCGUCACGC